rnacentral:rRNA from 1 species
UUCCUACGGGGGGGGCUGCAGUGGGGAAUAUUGCACCGGAGGGCGAAGCCUGAAUGCAGCGACGCCGCGUGAGGGAUGACGGCCUUCGGGUUGUAAACCUCUUUCAGCAGGGAAGAAGCGAAAGUGACGGUACCUGCAGAAGAAGCGCCGGCUAACUACGUGCCAGCAGCCGCGGUAAUACGUAGGGCGCAAGCGUUGUCCGGAAUUAUUGGGCGUAAAGAGCUCGUAGGCGGCUUGUCACGUCGAUUGUGAAAGCCCGAGGCUUAACCUCGGGUCUGCAGUCGAUACGGGCUAGCUAGAGUGUGGUAGGGGAGAUCGGAAUUCCUGGUGUAGCGGUGAAAUGCGCAGAUAUCAGGAGGAACACCGGUGGCGAAGGCGGAUCUACUGGGCCCAUUACUGACGCUUGAGGAGAAAGCGUGGGGCGAACAGGAUUAGAUACCGCAGGUAGUCU